GCCAGACUCCUACGGGAGGCAGCAGUGGGGAAUAUUGCACAAUGGGGGAAACCCUGAUGCAGCGACGCCGCGUGAGUGAAGAAGUAUUUCGGUAUGUAAAGCUCUAUCAGCAGGGAAGAAGAAGGACGGUACCUGAGUAGGAAGCCCCGGCUAACUACGUGCCAGCAGCCGCGGUAAUACGUAGGGGGCAAGCGUUAUCCGGAUUUACUGGGUGUAAAGGGAGCGUAGACGGCGAAGAAAGUCUGAAGUGAAUGCCCGCGGCUCAACCGCGGAAUGGCUUUGGAAACUUUUUUGCUGGAGUACCGGAGAGGUAAGCGGAAUUCCUAGUGUAGCGGUGAAAUGCGUAGAUAUUAGGAGGAACACCAGUGGCGAAGGCGGCUUACUGGACGGUAACUGACGUUGAGGCUCGAAAGCGUGGGGAGCAAACAGGAUUAGAUACCCCAGUA
rnacentral:rRNA from 1 species